UCCGGAGGGUGCAAACGUUGCUCGGAAUCAUUGGGCGUAAAGCGCACGUAGGUGGCUUGUUAAGUCGGGUGUGAAAUCCCUGGGCUCAACCCAGGAAGUGCACUCGAAACUGGCGAGCUUGAGUACUGAAGAGGGUCGCGGAAUUCCCGGUGUAGAGGUGAAAUUCGUAGAUAUCGGGAGGAACACCAGUGGCGAAGGCGGCGACCUGGGCAGAUACUGACACUGAGGUGCGAAAGCGUGGGGAGCAAACAGG
rnacentral:rRNA from 1 species